UUUGGGAAGGUUUGGGAAGGUUUGGGAAGGUUUGGGAAGGUUUGGGAAGGUUUGGGAAGGUUUGGGAAGGUUUGGGAAGGGAAGGGAAGGUUUGGGAAGGGAAGGGAAGGGAAGGGAAGGGAAGGUUUGGGAAGGGAAGGGAAGGUUUGGGAAGGGAAGGUUUGGGAAGGGAAGGUUUGGGAAGGGAAGGGAAGGUUUGGGAAGGGAAGGUUUGGGAAGGGAAGGUUUGGGAAGGGAAGGUUUGGGAAGGGAAGGUUUGGGAAGGGAAGGUUUGGGAAGGGAAGGUUUGGGAAGGGAAGGGAAGGUUUGGGAAGGGAAGGGAAGGGAAGGGAAG